GGCGACCGGCGCACGGGUGAGUAACACGUAUCCAACCUACCCCUCACUCGGGGAUAGCCUUUCGAAAGAAAGAUUAAUACCCGAUAGUCUAGGAAUAAAGCAUUUUAUUUUUAGUAAAGAAUUUCGGUGUUUGAUGGGGAUGCGUUCCAUUAGAUUGUUGGUGAGGUAACGGCUCACCAAGUCUUCGAUGGAUAGGGGUUCUGAGAGGAAGGUCCCCCACAUUGGAACUGAGACACGGUCCAAACUCCUACGGGAGGCAGCAGUGAGGAAUAUUGGUCAAUGGACGAGAGUCUGAACCAGCCAAGUAGCGUGAAGGACGAAGGCCCUACGGGUCGUAAACUUCUUUUAUAGGGGAAUAAAGUGGAGAACGUGUUCUCCUUUGUAUGUACCCUACGAAUAAGGAUCGGCUAACUCCGUACCAGCAGCCGCGGUAAUACGGAGGAUCCAAGCGUUAUCCGGAUUUAUUGGGUUUAAAGGGAGCGUAGGUGGACGUAUAAGUCAGUUGUGAAAGUUUGCGGCUCAACCGUAAAAUUGCAGUUGAUACUGUAUGUCUUGAGUGUACAAGAGGUGGGCGGAAUUCGUGGUGUAGCGGUGAAAUACUUAGAUAUCACGAAGAACUCCGAUUG
rnacentral:rRNA from 1 species